GUGAUGAAUGCCUCAUCUGGGGCAGAGUGGCCACUCCAUAAUCAUUGCUGCUCUAUUUGAACAUAUGCUUAGUUUCCAUGCAGAGGAGUCUAGCCGGCUCCAUGCACGUGGGCCUAGCUGCCAUGAGCAAUAUCUCGCAGUGCUUGUCACCGACAGCAUUUUCAUAUGCUAAUAAGAAUUAAUAAUUCAUGCUCAGUAAUCUGCCUGGUGUUUUUCCCAUCCUUCUUUCUUGCUGGAGGCCCAAGCAGACCAGACAUGAUGCUUUCCUGGAAGGAGGCUGUCUGCAGAGCCAUCUCCAUGGAGGGCAAGGAUGGGAAGAGCCCAAAGUCUCAUUCACCAUGUCUCCCAUGAAAGAUUAUAAGAGUCCCAUAAAGGAGCAGACCAGACGGCAAAGAGGAGGUGUUGAUGCCCAUCCACGAAAAUGGUCUUCCCCCCACUUCAAGAGCACAUCUACUUACACAAGCAUGGAGCCCAUUUCGCAGGAGGCGCUCGAGCGGAAGGGAGAGGUGGGCAGGCUGGCCAGGGCUGAGUUGCUGUGCAGAAUCCUCAGAAUCAAACGGAAGAUUCUCCUAUGGUGGAGACACGAAGAUAAAUUUAAGGAAAAUGUAUGAGGUGAGAAAUACAGGCAUCUGGGGUGGUGGUUUGUGUGGCUCCCUCACAUGGGCAUGUUAAAAAAUAUAGGAGUCAACGCAGAACAGUAAGUUCCAAGGUCCUGGGGUCACUAACUGGGUUUUCUUCUUUUGUUCCUCCCUGCCUCAUUAUGCCUCGUAUUCUAUGUUGACCACAUAAGGAGGGAGCAUUUUACAGUGAACAGAGUUCAGGCUUUGGACACCAGGCCUUCCUUGGCUGCCUCUAUCCUGGGCAACUUACAUCAAUUCUCUGUGCCUCAGGUGAGUCCUCUGUGAAACCAGAGACGGGGUGGAAAUGUUGACAAAUGGGGGCAAAGCAUCACCAUGAAAAAUGGCAACUAACUCUCAGUAGAUAUUUUGAUAGAUGAGGAGCAGAAAGUGUGGUCUAUAUCCAAACGGGGGAAAAGACCACUCAGAAAAACACUCCACAAGUCAAUUUUUAAAUUUCCUAGAGUGACCUUCUGGCUUGCCUUUCCCCUCAGGGUUCAGCGAUACCUGAGGCAGGGUUGGCUUCAGGCAGUAGAUCC
rnacentral:lncRNA from 12 species